rnacentral:piRNA from 2 species
UAAGAUGAUGUGGGUGACCCCCAUUGGGA